rnacentral:rRNA from 1 species
UACGUAGGGUGCAAGCGUUGUCCGGAAUUAUUGGGCGUAAAGAGCUCGUAGGCGGUUUGUCGCGUCUGCCGUGAAAGUCCGGGGCUCAACUCCGGAUCUGCGGUGGGUACGGGCAGACUAGAGUGAUGUAGGGGAGACUGGAAUUCCUGGUGUAGCGGUGAAAUGCGCAGAUAUCAGGAGGAACACCGGUGGCGAAGGCGGGUCUCUGGGCCGAUACUGACGCUGAGGAGCGAAAGCAUGGGUAGCGAACAGG